CCUAAUAAGCCGGGUGACACUCUGCCAGCGCUGUGUGUAAUAAACUCCUAUGCUUGACCUCUACACAAUGUGGAUUUAUGUCUUUCAAUGUGUAAUAAUGAA